UACCUUAUGCUAUAAUAAAUGUGUAGAGAGUUUAAAGUGGUGGCUAAUUUCUGAUUAAAGAGGUGAUGCCUAUGUAUAAAAUUUUUGCUAUUAGGCUAAAACCUGGAAAGGAAUAGCUUUGAGUAUUUAUGAAGCACUGAUGUUUGCAAUUGCUUUUGCAAUGUUAGUGCUCAAAAUCUCUGGAAAUAACAA
rnacentral:sRNA from 1 species